GUGGGGAAUUUUGGACAAUGGGCGCAAGCCUGAUCCAGCCAUUCCGCGUGCAGGAUGAAGGCCCUCGGGUUGUAAACUGCUUUUGUACGGAACGAAAAGGCUCUGGUUAAUACCUGGGGCUCAUGACGGUACCGUAAGAAUAAGCACCGGCUAACUACGUGCCAGCAGCCGCGGUAAUACGUAGGGUGCAAGCGUUAAUCGGAAUUACUGGGCGUAAAGCGUGCGCAGGCGGUCUUGUAAGACAGAGGUGAAAUCCCCGGGCUCAACCUGGGAACUGCCUUUGUGACUGCAAGGCUGGAGUACGGCAGAGGGGGAUGGAAUUCCGCGUGUAGCAGUGAAAUGCGUAGAUAUGCGGAGGAACACCGAUGGCGAAGGCAAUCCCCUGGGCCUGUACUGACGCUCAUGCACGAAAGCGUGGGGAGCAAACAGGAUUAGAAACCCCGGUAGUCC
rnacentral:rRNA from 1 species